CGUAGGGAGCGAGCGUUGUCCGAAGUUACUGGGCGUAAAGCGCGCGUAGGCGGGCUGUUAAGUGAGAGGUGAAAGGCUGGGGCUCAACCCCAUGCAGUGCCUCUCAUACUGGCGGUCUUGAGUGCGGCAGGGAGAAGUGGAAUGGCUGGUGUAGCGGUGAAAUGCGUAGAUAUCAGUCGGAACACCGGUGGCGAAGGCGGCUUCUCGGGCCUGGACUGACGCUGAGGCGCGAAAGCUGGGGGAGCGAACGGGAUUAGAUACCCCGGUAGUCCCAGCCGUAAACGAUGGAUACUAGGUGUCGGGGGUAUCGACCCCUCCGGUGCCGCAGCUAACGCAUUAAGUAUCCCGCCUGGGGAGUACGGCCGCAAGGUUG
rnacentral:rRNA from 1 species